CUACUUACCUGGCAGGGGAGACACCACAUCUCAAAGGUGUUUUUUUCCCGGGGUGAAAAAACCAUUGCACUCUGAAUGUGCUUAUGCCUUCAAGUUCCUCAAAUUCAGGGAAAUUCAUCUACAUAAUUUGUCAUAGUUGGAGGCUGUGUUUGCUCUCUCCUC